CAAGUCGAGGGGCAGCAUGACUGUAGCAAUACGGUUGAUGGCGACCGGCAAACGGGUGCGGAACACGUACACAACCUUCCUUUAAGCGGGGAAUAGCCCGGGGAAACCCGGAUUAAUACCCCAUAGUAUAUUGAAGAGGCAUCUCUUUACUAUUAAAGAUUUAUCACUUGAAGAUGGGUGUGCGGCUGAUUAGCUAGUUGGCGGGGUAAAGGCCCACCAAGGCUACGAUCAGUAACUGGUGUGAGAGCACGACCAGUCACACGGGCACUGAGACACGGGCCCGACUCCUACGGGAGGCAGCAGUAAGGAAUAUUGGUCAAUGGACGAAAGUCUGAACCAGCCAUGCCGCGUGGAGGAUGAAGGUCCUCUGGAUUGUAAACUUCUUUUAUCUGGGACGAAAAAAGGGAAUUCUUUCUCGUCUGACGGUACCAGAUGAAUAAGCACCGGCUAACUCCGUGCCAGCAGCCGCGGUAAUACGGAGGGUGCAAGCGUUAUCCGGAUUCACUGGGUUUAAAGGGUGCGUAGGUGGAUUGGUAAGUCAGUGGUGAAAUCUCCGGGCUUAACCCGGAAACUGCCAUUGAUACUAUCAGUCUUGAAUACCGUGGAGGUCAGUAGAAUAUGUCAUGUAGCGGUGAAAUGCUUAGAUAUGACAUAGAAUACCAAUUGCGAAGGCAGCUGGCUACACGAAUAUUGACACUCAGGCACGAAAGCGUGGGGAUCAAACAGGAUUAGAUACCCUGGUAGUCCACGCCCUAAACUAUGGAUACUCGACAUACGCGAUACACUGUGUGUGUCUGAGCGAAAGCAUUAAGUAUCCCACCUGGGAAGUACGAUC
rnacentral:rRNA from 1 species